rnacentral:rRNA from 1 species
CCUACGGGAGGCAGCAGUGAGGAAUAUUGAGCAAUGGGCGGAAGCCUGACUCAGCAACGCCGCGUGGAUGAAGAAGGCCUUCGGGUUGUAAAAUCCUUUUCUGAGGGACGAUAAUGACGGUACCUCAGGAAUAAGUUCCGGCUAACUACGUGCCAGCAGCCGCGGUAAAACGUAGGGGACAAGCGUUAUCCGGAUUUACUGGGCGUAAAGCGCAUGUAGGUGGCACGGAAAGUUGGAUGUGAAAGCUCCUGGCUUAACUGGGAGAGGUCAUUCAAAACUACCGAGCUUGAGGAUGGAAGAGGAGAGCAGAAUUCCCGGUGUAGUGGUGGAAUGCGUAGAUAUCGGGAGGAAUACCAGUGGCGAAAGCGGCUCUCUGGUUCGUGCCUGACACUGAGAUGCGAAAGCGUGGGGAGCGAACGGGAUUAGAUACCCCGGUAGUC